AGUAGUGUAUGGGCUUCCCUGGUGGCUCAGCUGGUAAAGAAUCCGCCCGCAGUGUGGGAGACCUGGGUUCCAUCCCUGGGUUGGGAAGAUCCUCUGGAGAAGGGAACAGCUACCCACUCCAGUACUCUUGCCUGGAGAAUCCCAUGGACUAUUCCACGGGGUUACACAGAGUUGGACACGACUAAGUGACUUUGGCUUUCAUUGGCAGUGUGUAUUUGUCGAUCCCAAUCUCCCACCCCACUUGGUAUCCAUCCAUACCUUUGUUCUCUGUAUCUUUGUCUAGUUCUGCUUUAUAAUAAGAUUAUCUAUGCCAGUUGUUUCAGAUUCCACAUAUAUACAUAUAUAUGGUAUUUGUUUUUCUCUUUUUGACUUUCUUCACUCUAUAUGACAGUCUCUAGGUCCAUCCACCUCUACAAAUGGCCUGAUUUCGUUCCUUUUUAUAGUUGACUGAUAGCCCACUGUCCAUAUGCACCGAAUCUUCUUUAUCCGGUCCUCUGCUGAUGGACUUUUAGCUUGCUUCCAUGUCCUGGCGAUUGUAAAUAAUGCUGCAGUGAGCACUGGGGUGCAUGUGUCUUUUUCAGUAAAUAAUUUUUAAGCAGUUCCAAAAACAGGAAGAUAGUAAAAAAGCGAAGAUAAAUGAGAAAAUGUAUAUUCCAUUAACUCCAUCUGGAAAAUAUUUAACUGGAUUAGCUGCACUCAGAUACUACUGUAGUGGAAUUGUUACCUUGUGUGGUGUUCACACCCAGCAAUUAUAGUGCGUGUGUUUCCUUCCCUUCCUCCCUGCCUGCCUGCCUUCCUUUCUUCCCUUCUUUUUUCCUUCCAAUUCCAUUCUGUCCAAUGAACAUUUAUCCAGGUCCUCUUUGCCCUGUAACUGUGCAGGACCCUUUGGGGCCUUCCUGGGACAGACCCUCCACUACAUCCUUCAUCUGCCUGUUAUUUGCAGAAAAACUUUAGCCUGCUAGGCUUUCCCCGAGUUCCAAAGAAUGAGUUUAACCAGAGACAUGAGAAAAUGCAGAAACAAAGAAAACCAGUCAAGGAAGCCGAAAUAAUAGUUUAGUACAUUAUACAAGGUCAAGGACCUUUAGUUCCUCCUCAAGGGCUAUAGAUAAUAUUCCAGGUCAAGUCCUUGAGCUGUUUUGCAGAUACUGAAAUCCCUGGUGCCCACAAGUACAUAGACCCCAGACUGGUUGGAACCAGAAGGCUGGUGAGGUUGACUCCUGAUUACCUCACCACCAGCCAAUCAGAAGAAUGUCCACAAGUUGAUCACACACUCUGCAGCUCUUUCCCUUACCCUGUCUUUGAAAACCUUUCCCUGAAAGUCAUUGGGGAGUUUGCGUUUUUUGAGCACCAGCUACCUGGACUCCUUGCUUGGCACCUGCAACAAAAGUUUCACUUUCCUGCACCACAGUCUGGUGUCAGUAGAUGGGCUUUAUCUCUUGAGGAUGAGCAAACCCAAGUUUGGUUUGUUAACAGUACCAGGUCAUGUGCUGCUUGCUGGGAAGUAGGGUCAAAACUAGGCCUCACCCCUUGGGUUCUGAAAGGCCAUGUGAUGUAGAAUGAGGGAUCUAUCACAGCUGGAGUUUUAUUCGGAAGCAGUGGACCCAGCGAACAAGUGUUCUCUGAGGGUUAAUGGGGAGAAAGGAGCUGUAGGGAGCACGGACAUCACCCCAGUGGGUCAUCCUCUGAAUUUACGGUUUUAUCUGAGGAACAAUUCCUGGCUCCUCUGCACGUAUCAGUGCUCCCUUGACCUUACAUAUUUUUCCAUUAUUUUAAUUUUCCAGUUCUCAUCGUUUCAUACAUUUUUGGUAGGAUGGUAGCCCCCACCUGUGAGAGAGGGUGGACAGAUUUAGCAACAAAACAAAAUGAAAUAAAAAUAACACACCCCACCUCAAGGAGGAUGCCCAGUUAAAUUUGGAUUUCAGAUAAGUAAUAAAUAAUAUAUUAGAAUCAGUAGGCCCUAUGCAGUAUUUGGGACACGCUCAGAUAAAACUUUUGAUUCUUUAUCCAGUAUUCAAAUUUCGCUAAUUAUCGGGUAUAUUAUCUGCUAACCCUUCUCUGAGGAACAGAGGAGAUGUCAUUAAAGUUAGGGGUAGUUUAAGAGAUGCUUAGGUUUUACACCUCCAUCUUUUAACUUUUGAAAGAGAGGCUGAAGUACAUAAUAUUUAAACUUUUUGUUUUUACUAAAAACAGUAGUGCAACUGCAGAGUAGAGAGGAAAGGACACAGGCUGUGUGAUCAAAGGGUGUUGGGUCCCAUUUGGGCUCAAAGACACCUGCUCUCUAACAUGUAGUCCUGGCUCUGUCUCUGCAUGGUAGGAUAGACUUUCUGGUAGGAUAGUCCUACCAGACUGCAUGGUAGGAUAGUCCUGGCUCCCUCAUCUCUGCAUGGUAGGAUAGACUUUCUCUGCCUACUGCCAGCUGGCGGGCUGUGCCCAGUGGACUGUGAAUGGGGGUGACAUCAGUCAUUUCCAGGUGGCAGCUCAAAGAGCCAGAGCACCUCUGGCCAUGCCCCCUCUCUGCCAUGGUGCCCCCAGAGCUCUGGGUGGGGUCUGCCCUCUGUCCUGGAUCAGUCCUCCCGAUCAGGGAUGACCCUGAUUCAGAGCCAAGCUCCCAGCCCACCCUCAGUGGCCACAUCGUGUGAGGGAAAAUAAAUAGUGGUACUGUAUGUCCCUGAGGUUGGGGAUUGUCCUUCUGCAGCAUCAGCAGGGUCGUUCUGACUGAUACACGGGGUCAGCAUACCUUGGGCAAGGCCCUUGCCUUCCAAGAUAUUAAUACAUGGUGCCCAUAUUUGAAAAGAUGGGGAUAACAUAACCAAACUUCUUGUAUACAGUUUUAAAAUUUUGAAGUAGUCUAAAGCUCACGAGAAGUUGCAAAAAUAGCAUAGUGUAGGCUGAGACAUAAGUAAAGAGCAUUGAACAUAGUUUGUGGAAAAUCCUGGCUUGGUUCACCUGAGGCAUAACUCUUCCUGGUAAUCGAUGGAUGCGCUGAACGUCAGAACAGUAGAAAGUUGGUUCCCAAAGAGUUCCUGUAGUUUACUGGGGAGACAACACCUCUUACAGCGAAUAACCAUCCUGCCGCUCGGACAUCAUGGUCCCAUGUCCAGCUGGGGAAAGGCAGCCCUGUUGAAAAACUAUCUGCUCCUUAUUAGCUGCAAGUUGACAUUUAAGGUUUCUUCCUUCCUUAGGGAACUGGUCCAAAGGCUUAUGUAAGUUUUCUCUCUUACACACAUUUAAAAAGCAUGUUAAAACAAUACAGAAUGUCUACUGAAACCACAUGAGAGCCGAAAAAGCAGGCAGAAGCUCUUCUUUCCACAUAUAACAUCUUUGACGGACCAAGGUCUUUGGCUACAUACAUCCUUUUAGAAAGGUCUGUCCUGUGUCUGGGGUGGUCUGACAACAAGUCAUCCCACGCCACAUUUUGGCCAAAUGGGAUUUGGAGAUACACCCCCGCCCCCCUUUUAAGGGGUGCUGUUAAGAUGGGAGCAGUUCAGCAGGGUCCCAGUGACCCCAAGGACCGAGAGCAUUAGAGAGCAAUGCAGUAGUCCGUAUUUUCAUUAGUACCCACGUCCAAGAAUGUCCUCCUUGUCAUCACACAUUUGUUAAGCAUCUCUCCACCUCUGAGCCCUCAGACUUUAAAAUAAAAAGUUGGGAUGCUUUUUUUUCCCCCAAGUUUCCUUCUAGUUCAGGGACUCUGUGUUUGUCGAUUCUCCGACAUUUAGAAAAUCCUCCUCAUUUCCUCCCACCGAACCAGGUGUCUCUGUACGAAGCCUGGUUGGGAACUGAUUGCAUGCAAAAGGGGCCCUGGAGAAAGACUCUAUCUCCCUCAGGAGUUGGAUUAUUUUAUUAGUCUUUUCAUACCAGCAUGUAAAUCAUUUCAGUUUUUGCGAUUUUCGUCUUUUAAAGAUAUGGCUAGACCCUUGAACAAGAAAGAUAGUGUGAAACAGGAGAAGAUCAUGUUUUUGUGUUUUUUUUUUUUAAACUAGGAGCUGUUAGUUUAAAGUGACAACUGAAGCCCCUUGCAAAUCCUGGCUUAUCUUUUACUGCAUUUCAGUGCCUACAAUAGAUGGAUUUACUGGUUCCCAGGCUUGUGCUGUGCCUCAGCUCCUGUGGUGCUGAGACCGUAGCCUGUUUCCUGGACUGAUUUCCAUGUAUUAUAUAACGUUUUUUUUUUUUUUUUUCUGGAUGUCCUUUUUCAGCGCCUUGUCUUGAUUUGGAGUGGGGUCUCUGAAGCUGCCAACGGUUGUCUGUUUGGCGCUUUCCAAGUUGCUGGGUCACCUGGGCUGGGGAUUCCCACCCCGCUGGUGGGACUGGAGACAGAUUGUCUCUGUGAGCCCAGUCUUGUAACUGAUGGACCGUAAUCAAUAUCCGAUGAACUUGAGCAUGAGAAAAGAGGUUUUAGCAUCGGCUUGUUAAUCUCAUGAAAAGCCCAGCUGGAGUUUUGGUUGGAAUCGUAGCCUUCCUUUCAGGAAAGACUGACAUCUCCACUGAAUGUUCCUGUCCUUGAACAUGGACUGUCUUUCCACUUACUGUGGCACUUUUUCAUGAAUUUCAGUAGAGUUCAAAAGCUCUAGAGUUCAAUAGACUUUAAAGCAUACAUAUUGUACCCAUUUAUAAUUAGGUUCAUUUCUGAUACUUUCUGACUUUGGUUGCUAUUAUAAAAGGUGUCUUUCUUCCUAUUAAUUGACUCCAAGUGUUUGCUGAUGGUGUAUAUUAAUGCAAUUUAUAUUUGUAUAAAUAUUUCUAUAUAUAAAUAUUUCUGGUGUGCUGUGGUUCACACCAUGGACACGACUGAGUGACUGAACUGAACUGAACUGAUAUUUGUAUAUAGCCAGUACCUUGCUAAACUUAUUACUCUAAUAAUAUUUUAUUCAAAUUUUUCUGAGACUCCAUGUAAACAGUUGUCCCAUUUUCUUUAUGUAAAAAUAGAUAUGAUGAUGAUAAUUCACCUGUUUAUAACUUAUAAACAUCAUGCAUAUAAAGUGCUUAGAACUGUGAGCUAUAUGUUACCUUUGUUAUUAAAGUAAUUAUUACCUUUGUUAUUAAAGUAAUGACUCUAUUGUUUCUUAUGAAAGUUUUACAUGUAUGUUAUAAAAACCAAAGAAAUGUAGAGAAUGCAAAUAGAAAACCAACAAAUCACCCAUCACUCAGAAACAAGUAGGAUAGCAUUUGGUGAACAUCAUGUCAGGUUAUCUGUAUGAAUAGAAGAAUAGGUAAAUACAUAGAUAGACAAGAUAAAAUAAUUUUAUAAAAGUAGUAUCAUGUUUUUCAUGAUUAAAGAUAUUAAACUUUAAUUGUAUUUGACUUUUAAAAAUGGGAAGGAAACCUGAUGGCAUAGCUGAAUUUUAAUUUCCUCACCACAAGAGAUACCGAUCUAAAGAUUUUACUUAAGAAAAAGUUAAAAAAACAUGAGUAGAUGAGUCAUUAGGUCUUUGUUCAAUCACAUUUUUUAUUUUUUUUUUGCAGCAGGUCCUGACUGCCCACUGUAAAACUAGGGAGAUCAUAACCUCUGCUCAGAAGCAGAAAGAAGGAGCAGCUGGAGCCAGCUCCUCACAGCCGGAUCUGCAGGGGCCUCUGAGAGGAGCGUCUUUGUAUCUGCCACUCCAGGGUUUAUAAUAUUUACCAUCAUCAUAGCACAAUCCUCAUUGUUUCAUGUUAGUCAUAAAUGUCUUUGAACGGUGGCUCACGCUUCCCGCCUCCCUGGUCUCUCUUUCUUUCCUCUUGUCCCUCUUCCUUUUCAUCUUCAUUUGUUGCCCCAACAUUCUUUCCAUCUUUCCAUCACGUGACAGGGGCUGCUCAGCCUAGCCUUCCUGUUUGUGUGAUACAUUCUCCCAUCCUACCGGGGACUCAUUUGACUUUUCCUCUCUCGACCAUAUGGUCAUCCCUCAGCAUCCUCGGGAAAGGGGUUUCAGGAGCCCCUUGGAUACCAAAAGCCUCAGAUACUCACUCAAGUCUUUUACAUACAGUGGAGCGGUGUGAUGAACACAGUUUGCUCACUGAAUCCGUGGAUUUCUGCACCUCCAGAUUCACCCAGCUAUGGUCAAAAUGUCACGUUAGUUGAAUUUGCGAUGUGAGGCCCAUGGACGUGACACAUCAGCUGAAUUUGCAGAUUUGAGCCCUGUGGACGUGAAACCCACAGACAGGGAAUGUGCAGACAGGGAGGAUGAAGUGUAGUUUGAAACUCCGUGUCGCUCUGAGAUUUCCUGUCAUCUACAUUUGUGAUCAGUGAGGGGCUAGGAGGGGGCCCUCUGCCAAAGCUGAGUGCUGUUGGCACCGAGAGUCCCAGUGCUGACACCUUCCCAGGGCCCACUGACCCAGCCAGGGCACGUUCUUCUUCCGAGGGGCACCAGACUGUUGGUCCAGCUCAGCACAGUGCCCUCGUAGGGUUGCCAGAUAAAAUGUGGGAUGUCCUGGGGAAAUCUGAAUUUGAGAUGCGUGAUGGAUAAUUGUUUAAUAUAAGUGUAUAUGGGAUGUUUGGGCACAUUUUAGUGUCCUCAAUCUGGCAACCCCCCUGUCCUGGAAACCAUCAUUUUCCUCUGCUGAGCUCCUUCUACUAUGCCGGGACUUCUGCUCUUGAGGGUUUUAACUUCACUUUUUGCCAGGCUGUCUGUGCCCCCUGCCCCAC
ensembl:lncRNA